rnacentral:rRNA from 1 species
UACGGGGGGAGCAAGCGUUGUUCGGAUUUACUGGGCGUAAAGGGCGCGUAGGCGGCCAGCACAAGUCAGUUGUGAAAUCUCCGAGCUUAACUCGGAACGGUCAACUGAUACUGUGCGGCUAGAGUGCGGAAGGGGCAACUGGAAUUCUUGGUGUAGCGGUGAAAUGCGUAGAUAUCAAGAGGAACACCUGCGGCGAAGGCGGGUUGCUAGGCCGACACUGACGCUGAGGCGCGAAAGCCAGGGGAGCGAACGGG